rnacentral:rRNA from 1 species
UACGUAGGGUGCGAGCGUUAAUCGGAAUUACUGGGCGUAAAGCGUGCGCAGGCGGCGCGUUAAGACAGGUGUGAAAGCCCCCGAGCUUAACUUGGGAAUUGCGCUUGUGACUGGCGUGCUGGAGUGUGGCAGAGGGAGGUGGAAUUCCACGUGUAGCAGUGAAAUGCGUAGAGAUGUGGAGGAACACCCGAUGGCGAAGGGCAGCCCUCCCUGGGGCCCAGCAUC